GUUUUAUUGACCACCGCCUUUUUUCAAAACUACAGGCGUGCAAUGACAAAGGUUUCUAUACUGAUUUCCCGGGCAACUGUGUGAAACAAAGCAGGAGCGUGGUUGAGAUGUUUUCAAUGGAGGACUGGGUUACAAUUGCGAAUUUCCGCACGUAUCAGUUGGAGAGAGGGUUGUACCGCUGUUCCUCUUCUCUCGUACAUCGUUAUCUCGGUAAAUGGAGUAUGUAGCAAUAGAAAAGGUUUAUUCCAAGUAACACAGCGGUCAAACGUCGCGCAUGCGCGAGGGGACCAGUUCCGACCUGCCGCGUAAAAUUCAAAGGAAAAAAACACUAGAAACAACCAUUGUCUCGCAGAGUAGGCGAAAGAAAAUUGAGACGCUCAUGAAAAUAAGUAAAGGGAAAGAAAAGCAGGAAAAGGAAAACUCGAGACUCUUCGAACACAAAGCUUUUUCAAGUACGAGUAUCUUGUUGAUUUACCAUUCUGUUUUGAGCUCUAACAAAAAAAAGCUAUACGCUUUUAAAACAUUAUGACGUAUAAGCUUGUGUGGUUUCGGCGGUGGAUCUAGGGGAGGGACCGGGGGUUUGCCCCCCUUCUUUUGGGUUAAAAAAAUAAACGCAGAAAGAAGAAAAUCCUUCAGAUGUACACACACAAAAUACCUUUCCCCCCCCCCUUCCACCCUUAGCUCAAGGUCUCGACCGCCAUUGAGGUUUUUGUAACUCGUGUUCCAUGUAAGUUCCCUUUUGGCAGCCUGAAAGCUUGUCACCCAGUCUUUACGACAUGAACAUAUGUUCAGACGUUUGACCGUUGUGUUUCCCUUGACACGCCCCUAAAAAGGUUGAUAACAUUUAUCCUGCGAAGCGUGAAAUUAUCUUCAGUGUGACCAAAUGAAGAGGAGAGGACUGUGACGGAAGCUCUUGGUCCAGGCUUCGGGACAUGUCAACUCUUCCAAAGUUUCUUUUUUUAUAGCUAUUCUCUCGAAUUGGAGAGUCCCUGUGAAGAGUAACCUUGGAAAAGGCUCACGAGCCGCUGACGAUGCUAUAUCGAUACUGAUAAUCUCAUCACACUUUAGGCACAAGCUAACACCUUGCCAGUCUUUCCUAAGAAAUUUUUCAAUUAUUUUUAUGAUAAGUUCAGUGCUAAUUCUUUAUCACAAGAAAUUGCUUUAAUAUGUUUUAUGAUAACCUCUGUGCCAAUUUGUUUUCGUAAUAAUCUUAUCUCUUUUAUGAGUUAAGAGUAUUUUUUUUACACUAAUUUUCUAAGUAGGUAAAUAAUCAAGGCGGCUCAUUGUAGGGAAUCUUGCAUUCUGUUUUAAGCUGUCAUCAAACUGAUUAAAUUGGCUUAUUCAAUGUAAUUAAUGUGGAAUUUGUAUUAAAGAUUAAAGUUUGUGAAGUGCAACUGAUUGGACAGACGGCAAAAUGAAAUAUGUUUGUUGUAUACAAUGAAAGGGACAAUAAAUUAAAUUAACUUAAUAAAGUAUUAUUAUUACUAACAGUUUCUUAUGGUUUCAGUUUCUUUGGGUCCGUGUUGAAGUUCUAGUCAAGUUAAUUCUAAAGAGAAUUCAAUAUAAGGCAGCACGCAUAAUUCAUAAUUUGUCAAAGGAUAUAGCUUCUGUUGCCCUCAGAUGUGUUAAGUAGCCUACACUUUGUUCAGUUGUAAGGUCCUAACCACACUGAAGCGCUUUCAGUCGUAAGACUGCUGCAUUUCCAUUUGAUGCGUUUUCGUCCUCCGUCUACACUGGAACACCCAAAAAUGCAAGUGAAAGUAACAGUAUAUGACUCAUUUUUGGUCAAUUUUUUCAAUCUCAUAGCUUUCAAAUUAUCACGUGGCAAUACAGAUCAUGAUUUUGAUGACAGAAGGGUGCGAAAUAGGUUGUCAUCAGUGGCUUAACUGAGGGUUCACGAAUCACCUUAGGAGAAGGCUAGCAUUUAGUGCUCACGUGGUUAUGCUUUGCUUUCACCCUUUCCCCCUGUGACAUGAAAAGGGGCUAAAUUUUCUAUUAGCCUAGGGUCAGGACUUUGUUCCCGCAUGUUUUCCUGUUCACUUAUAACUUUCUGAAACAUUCGCGGUCCCAUAACUAUUCCACUGGUGAGGUGUUCGUUUUCACAUCUCUCUUCGGCAGAAUUUCUUGUCGCUGAUUUCAGUUGUUCAUAUCGAUAUUUACUACAGCUCUUCUUCGCAGUCAAAAGGUGUUGCCGUUGUAAUCUGUGCUUUUCUUUCAAUUCCAGGGCCAACUUGAAAAUCUGGGAUUUAAAGUCCGCAAACAUUUGUCUUAUCUCUGUAGACAGCAGGUAUACUUGUGUGUUGUCUGGAAUGCAAAGGAAAGAACGAAAUAUGUUUUAAACCCGGCAGAGUACGACCGUAACCAUUGGUAUCUAAAACUCCCGUCAAAGCUCUUCUUGUACCUAAUAUCCACACACAUGGAACAUUCGUUCUGUCGCCCUCGUCACAGCCAGAUAGUGGGAUGACUGGUUUUGUUAAUCAGUACUGUGGGCGGAUCCAGGAGAUUUUGAUAGGAGGGGAUCCAAACUUUGAAUCAGAAAACAUAUAUAUAUAUUUUUUUUUUUUUCGCUAAGUAAGCUAAGAAAUAUUUCGCGAAGAGUAAAUUUUAAAUACUUUAAGUUAAAUUUCAAAUACCUCAUGUUAAAUUACAAAUACUUCAAGUUUAUCAGUAUUUUGUUCUUGUCAUUGCAAGAAUUGUGUAGUCUGACGUGUAACAAAAUAGCCCACAAGUUUGAAAGAGGCCAGAGAAAUGUGCCAGGGUAAUUAUUGCCUGGUGAAAGUUGCAAGAUGGUUAGUUACCU
rnacentral:lncRNA from 1 species